rnacentral:rRNA from 1 species
GACGAACGCUGGCGGCGUGCUUAACACAUGCAAGUCGAACGGAAAGGCGCUGCGUUUGUGGGGUGCUCGAGUGGCGAACAGGUGAGUAACACGUGAGUAACCUGCCCUUGACUUUGGGGUAAGCUCAUGACACUGAGGAUAAUACUGGAGAAGAGCUGCUGCUGCAUGGUGAGGUGUGCAGAGAUUGAGCGGUUGGGGAUGGACUCUAGGUUGAUCAGCUUGUUGGUGGGGUAGUGGCCUAGCAAGGCUGGGACGGGUAGCCGGCCUGAGAGGGGGAACGGCCAACAUGGGACUGAGAUACGGCCCAGAAUCCUACGGGAGGCAGCAGUGGGGAAUAGUGCACAAUGGGCGGAAGCGUGAUACAGAAAAGCUGCGUGUGGGAUGACGGCCUUCGGGUUGUAAACCGCGUUUGCCUGUGACGAAGCGUAAGUGACGGUAAUGGGUAAAGAAGCAACGGCUAACUACGUG